UACGGGGGGGGCAAGCGUUGUUCGGAAUUACUGGGCGGAAAGGGCUCGUAGGCGGCCAACUAAGUCAGACGUGAAAUCCCUCGGCUUAACCGGGGAACUGCGUCUGAUACUGGACGGCUUGAGUUCGGGAGAGGGAUGCGGAAUUCCAGGUGUAGCGGUGAAAUGCGUAGAUAUCUGGAGGACCACCGGUGGCGAAGGCGGCAUCCUGGACCGACACUGACACUGAGGAGCGAAAGCCAGGGGAGCAAACGGG
rnacentral:rRNA from 1 species